rnacentral:rRNA from 1 species
GACGAACGCUGGCGGCGUGCUUAACACAUGCAAGUCGAACGAUGAAGCCUAGCUUGCUAGGUGGAUUAGUGGCGAACGGGUGAGUAAUACGUGAGUGACCUACCUUUGACUCUGGGAUAAGCCUGGGAAACUGGGUCUAAUACCGGAUACGACCAAUCUCCGCAUGGGGUGUUGGUGGAAAGCGUUAUGGAGUGGUUUUAGAUGGGCUCACGGCCUAUCAGCUUGUUGGUGAGGUAAUGGCUUACCAAGGCGACGACGGGUAGCCGGCCUGAGAGGGUGACCGGCCACACUGGGACUGAGACACGGCCCAGACUCCUACGGGAGGCAGCAGUGGGGAAUAUUGCACAAUGGGCGCAAGCCUGAUGCAGCGACGCCGCGUGAGGGAUGACGGCCUUCAGGUUGUAAACCUCUGUUAGCAUCGAAGAAGCGAAAGUGACGGUAGGUGCAGAGAAAGCGCCGGCUAACUACGUGCCAGCAGCCGCGGUAAUACGUAGGGCGCGAGCGUUGUCCGGAAUUAUUGGGCGUAAAGAGCUUGUAGGCGGUUGGUCGCGUCUGCUGUGAAAGGCUGGGGCUUAACCCUGGUUUUGCAGUGGGUACGGGCUAACUAGAGUGCAGUAGGGGAGACUGGAAUUCCUGGUGUAGCGGUGGAAUGCGCAGAUAUCAGGAGGAACACCGAUGGCGAAGGCAGGUCUCUGGGCUGUAACUGACGCUGAGAAGCGAAAGCAUGGGGAGCGAACAGG